GGGAAGGUGGCUCAGUGGUAGAGUGCUUGCCUUGCAUGCAUGAAAGCCCUGGGUUCGAUUCCUCAGUACCA
rfam:Dipodomys ordii contig_92129, whole genome shotgun sequence.